GAUUAACGCUGGCGGCAUGCCUUACACAUGCAAGUCGAACGGUAGCGCGGGGCAACCUGGCGACGAGUGGCGAACGGGUGAGUAAAGCAUCGGAACGUGCCCUGGAAUGGGGGAUAACGUAGCGAAAGUUACGCUAAUACCGCAUAUACUGUGAGCAGGAAAGCAGGGGAUCGCAAGACCUUGCGUUCGAGGAGCGGCCGAUGUCGGAUUAGCUAGUUGGUGGGGUAAAGGCCUACCAAGGCGACGAUCAGUGGCUGGUCUGAGAGGAUGAUCAGCCACACUGGGACUGAGACACGGCCCAGACUCCUACGGGAGGCAGCAGUGGGGAAUAUUGGACAAUGGGCGCAAGCCUGAUCCAGCCAUGCCGCGUGAGUGAUGACGGCCUUAGGGUUGUAAAGCUCUUUUACCCGGGAAGAUAAUGACGGUACCGGGAGAAUAAGCCCCGGCUAACUUCGUG
rnacentral:rRNA from 1 species